GGAAGUAAAAGUCGUAUCAAGGUUUCCGUAGGUGAACCUGCGGAAGGAUCAUUAUUGUAUAACCGAGGUGCGAGGGCUGUCGCUGACCCGAAAGGUCGUGCACGCCCGAGUGCCCUCACACACAUCCAUCUCACCCCUAUGUGCACCACCGCGUGGGUCCCACUUUGGCUUGUUCGGAGGGGGGCUUACGUUUUCACACAAACUUUGUAUGCAGUGUAGAAUGUAUUUUUUGUUUUUGCGAUCACGCAAUCAAUACAACUUUCAACAACGGAUCUCUUGGCUCUC
rnacentral:misc_RNA from 1 species